rnacentral:rRNA from 1 species
GCGGAGGAAAAGAAACCAACAGGGAUUGCCCUAGUAACUGGCGAGUGAAGCGGCAACAGCUCAAAUUUGAAAUCUGGCUUCGGCCCGAGUUGUAAUUUGCAGAGGAUGUUUCUGGCGCGGUGCCUUCCGAGUUCCCUGGAACGGGACGCCACAGAGGGUGAGAGCCCCGUAUGGUUGGACACCAAGCCUGUGUGAAACUCCUUCGACGAGUCGAGUAGUUUGGGAAUGCUGCUCAAAAUGGGAGGUAAAUCUCUUCUAAAGCUAAAUACCGGCCAGAGACCGAUAGCGCACAAGUAGAGUGAUCGAAAGAUGAAAAGCACCUUGAAAAGGGGGUUAAACAGUACGUGAAAUUGUUGAAAGGGAAGCGCUUAUGACCAGACUUGUGCUGGGCAGCUCAUCCGGGGUUCUCCCCGGUGCACUCUGCCCAGUUCAGGCCAGCAUCGAUUUUCGCUGGGGGAGAAGAACGGUAGGAACGUGGCCCUCCUUCGGGUGGGUGUUAUAGCCUACCGUACGAUACCCUGGCGGAGAUCGAGGUUCGCGCAUCUGCAAGGAUGCUGGCAUAAUGGUCAUCAGCGACCCGUCUUGAAACACGGACCAAGGAGUCGUCCAUUAGAGCGAGCGUUUGGGUGUCAAACCCGCACGCGUAAUGAAAGUGAAAUUAGGUGAGAGCUUCGGCGCAUCAUCGACCGAUCCUGAUGUUCUCGGAUGGAUUUGAGUAAGAGUUUUAACGGACGGACCCGAAAGACAGUGAACUAUGCUUGUAUAGGGUGAAGCCAGAGGAAACUCUGGUGGAGGCUCGCAGCGGUUCUGACGUGCAAAUCGAUCGUCAAAUAUGAGCAUGGGGGCGAAAGACUAAUCGAACUGUCUAGUAGCUGGUUACCGCC